UAUUGUUCUCUGUUUCUUCGUCUAACGCUGAGCCUACACCGGCAAUGGGUGGAGGCGGAGGAGGAGGAGGAGGAGAUGCUCACUCAAUGCCGUGUAUACAAAAACUGAUGCCAUGUCAGCCUUAUCUUCACUCGGUGACUCCUCCACCUCCCGCGUCGUGUUGCCUGCCGAUGAAGGAGAUAGUCGAGAAAGACGCGACGUGUCUUUGCUCCGUCUUCAACAAUGUCGACAUGCUCAAAUCGCUUAACCUCACUAAAGAAAACGCUCUUGUUCUCCCUAAAGCUUGUGGCGCCAAGGCUGACAUCUCGCUAUGCAAAUCCAGCAAUGGUAAGCCACUUAAUACGACGCCGUUUACAGUAGGUUUUAGCUUGAUGCACGCAAGUUUUUGUUCCUUAUCUUUAUUAUUUUUAUUUUUUUUUUUAAUUUUACUAAGGCACCACUACACCUUCGACGGGAACUACCACAACUCCUCCGGCAUCUUCCACUGGUAUGAUUACAUAAUAACAGUUGUACGUGGUGGAGUAUAUAUUUAUCUUUGUAUACAUGAACAGGGAGCGGUUCCACCGGAGCUUCAUCUUCUUCAACGGCCAAACCAACAAACUCGGCUCCUGGCAUCACCUUCGCCGGAGCUAGCUUCGCAUCAGCUUUCAUGGCAUUGGCAACAAUCUUCUUCUGAUCUACUACUAUAUUGCAUUUUUUCUUUAUUCAUUAUUACGUAGGUUUUUUAUAUGUUGAAAAUUUGUUUGGUUAUUGAUUAUUAUUAUCAUUAUGUACUUUGAAAUUUCUAAUAAUAGUAAUAAUUUCCAGCAUGUCUUUACCAACACUUUCUCUAAUUAGUUUAAUGCCCAAAUCUAAAUUCAUCUCAUUACGUUUUUUGUUUUAAUUUAUUUUUUGUGUACAUGUAAUGCAAUCACAAACAUGUACAUUACCACAAGUCGAUAUGAACUAUGAAUUAGUGAUACUAUGAGGUUACUACUUCAAACUAUUAAUUUUACAUAUACUGGUGUAUAGUAUACAUAUGUCAAGUAUACAAUAUGUUUAAAAUAGGUAUAUAGUCUGAUAGCUAACGUUUUUGGAAGCUAGUUUUUAAGCUACUGUCGCAAAAAUAUAAUUCUGGUAUGCUGAUAUUUUUUGGGUUUUCAGGUUUGAUUUUGGGUAAAUUUUUGGGUAUUUUCGCGGUUCUUCGAAUAUUUUUAAAAUUUUCAGUUAAUUUUUGAAUUUUCUGAUCUUAUUCGGAUUUUCGGGUCCUAAAUAUCAGAACCGGCCCGAAUCCAAAAUAUACCCGAUAAUUACGGAUAUUUUACGGAUAUUGGAAUUUUUAGACCUGAACCGAUCGGUACUUAUAUGGGUCCAAAUAUCUAGGAAUCUGAUGCCCAUUCCCAGUGAACAUGGUUGAAAACUACAACAAACCGUAUGUUCAUGCUCUGUUCUGUUCAUGUAAUAACAAUCUUUUCUGUGAACUCUUAUAAAUAGAUUGAAAUAAGGAUUUAACUAAUUAACGUCAGACAAUCCAGAGCUUAGUCUUCGAUCCAUUGCAUAAGAACCGGAUCAGAACAGAUUUUGUUACUGUUUCUCGAAAAACCAGGGAGAAACUCGAUUAGAUUGUAAAACAAACGAAACUAUAACCAACGUGUGUGUACUAUAUAAGAUACGUGAAGAUGUAUUACAUCAAUCCACACAACUUUCAAAGUAAGACAACAAAAUAACCGUCUGUUUGAAAUAUUUAAGCUCUUUGCUUAUUUGAAAAUGGAGGUCGUCAGAUUCGCCGUCGCCGUCGUUUUUGUAUUGUUCUCUGUUUCUUCGUCUAACGCUGAGCCUACACCGGCAAUGGGUGGAGGCGGAGGAGGAGGAGGAGGAGAUGCUCACUCAAUGCCGUGUAUACAAAAACUGAUGCCAUGUCAGCCUUAUCUUCACUCGGUGACUCCUCCACCUCCCGCGUCGUGUUGCCUGCCGAUGAAGGAGAUAGUCGAGAAAGACGCGACGUGUCUUUGCUCCGUCUUCAACAAUGUCGACAUGCUCAAAUCGCUUAACCUCACUAAAGAAAACGCUCUUGUUCUCCCUAAAGCUUGUGGCGCCAAGGCUGACAUCUCGCUAUGCAAAUCCAGCAAUGGUAAGCCACUUAAUACGACGCCGUUUACAGUAGGUUUUAG
rnacentral:lncRNA from 1 species